rnacentral:rRNA from 1 species
UAGGGAAUAUUGCAAAAUGGGCGAAAGCCCGAUGCAGCAACGCCGCGUGGGCGAUGAAGGCCUUCGGGUCGUAAAGCCCUUUUUGAGGGGAUGAGGAAGGACAGUACCCCCAGAACAAGCCUCGGCUAACUACGUGCCAGCAGCCGCGGUAAAACGUAGGAGGCGAGCGUUAUCCGGAUUUACUGGGCGUAAAGCGCGUGCAGGCGGAUUGGAGAGUUGGAUGUGAAAGCUCCCGGCUUAACUGGGAGAGGUCGUUCAAUACUUCCAGUCUUGAGUGCAGUAGAGGGAAGUGGAAUUCCGGGUGUAGUGGUGAAAUGCGUAGAUAUCCGGAGGAACACCAGUGACGAAAGCGGCUUCCUGGACUGUAACUGACGCUCAGACGCGAAAGCUAGGGUAACAAACG